rnacentral:rRNA from 1 species
GAUGAACGCUGGCGGCGUGCCUAAUACAUGCAAGUCGAGCGAACAGACGAGGAGCUUGCUCCUCUGACGUUAGCGGCGGACGGGUGAGUAACACGUGGAUAACCUACCUAUAAGACUGGGAUAACUUCGGGUAACCGGAGCUAAUACCGGAUAAUAUAUUGAACCGCAUGGUUCAAUAGUGAAAGACGGUUUUGCUGUCACUUAUAGAUGGAUCCGCGCCGCAUUAGCUAGUUGGUAAGGUAACGGCUUACCAGGGCGACGAUGCGUAGCCGACCUGAGAGGGUGAUCGGCCACACUGGAACUGAGACACGGUCCAGACUCCUACGGGAGGCAGCAGUAGGGAAUCUUCCGCAAUGGGCGAAAGCCUGACGGAGCAACGCCGCGUGAGUGAUGAAGGUCUUCGGAUCGUAAAACUCUGUUAUUAGGGAAGAACAAAUGUGUAAGUAACUAUGCACGUCUUGACGGUACCUAAUCAGAAAGCCACGGCUAACUACGUG